UACCCUUGACUUUGGGCCAUGAUGUUGUU
rnacentral:piRNA from 1 species